rnacentral:rRNA from 1 species
UGUCUACUUGGAGGUUGGGCCUUGAGCCGUGGCUUUCGGAGCUAACGCGUUAAGUAGACCGCCUGGGGAGUACGGUCGCAAGAUUAAAACUCAAAUGAAUUGACGGGGGCCCGCACAAGCGGUGGAGCAUGUGGUUUAAUUCGAUGCAACGCGAAGAACCUUACCUACUCUUGACAUCCAUAGAACUUUUCAGAGAUGAAUUGGUGCCUUCGGGAACUAUGAGACAGGUGCUGCAUGGCUGUCGUCAGCUCGUGUUGUGAAAUGUUGGGUUAAGUCCCGCAACGAGCGCAACCCUUAUCCUUGUUUGCCAGCGAGUAAUGUCGGGAACUUCAGGGAGACUGCCGGUGAUAAACCGGAGGAAGGUGGGGACGACGUCAAGUCAUCAUGGCCCUUACGAGUAGGGCUACACACGUGCUACAAUGGCGCAUACAGAGGGCGGCCAACUUGCGAAAGUGAGCGAAUCCCAAAAAGUGCGUCGUAGUCCGGAUUGGAGUCUGCAACUCGACUCCAUGAAGUCGGAAUCGCUAGUAAUCGUAGAUCAGAAUGCUACGGUGAAUACGUUCCCGGGCCUUGUACACACCGCCCAAGG